ACUCAGGCACGAUUCACGCGGUGUAACCGCGUGGAAGCGACCUGAAGUAUCAAACCUGAGGGA
rnacentral:ncRNA from 1 species